rnacentral:rRNA from 1 species
UACGUAGGGUGCGAGCGUUUGUCCGGAAUUACUGGGCGUAAAGAGCUCGUAGGUGGUUUGUCGCGUUGUCCGUGAAAACUCACAACUCAAUUGUGGGCGUGCGGGCGAUACGGGCAGACUGGAGUACUGCAGGGGAGACUGGAAUUCCUGGUGUAGCGGUGGAAUGCGCAGAUAUCAGGAGGAACACCGGUGGCGAAGGCGGGUCUCUGGGCAGUAACUGACGCUGAGGAGCGAAAGCGUGGGGAGCGAACAGG